rnacentral:rRNA from 1 species
CCUGGUUGAUCUUGCCAGUAGUCAUAUGCUUGUCUCACAGAUUAAGCCAUGCAAGUGAAAGUACAUAUGUAAAUAAUAUAUUGAAACUGCGAACGGCUCAUUAAAACAGUUAUAAUCUACUUGAUGUUUUUAAUAUAAGGAUAACUACGGAAAAUCUGUAGCUAAUACUUGUGAAAAUACCUUUUGAUAUAUACAUAUGUAUGUAUCAUUAAGGUAUGUAUUUGUUAGAUAUAAGAAUAAAAUAAAUAUAAUUGAAUUAUAACAAAGAAGAAACACAUAAAAUAUGUGUAUUAUCAAUCGAGUAUCUGACCUAUCAGCUUUUGAUGUUAGGGUAUUGACCUAACAUGGCUAUGACGGGUAACGGGGAAUUAGAGUUCGAUUCCGGAGAGGGAGCCUGAGAAAUAGCUACCACAUCUAAGGAAGGCAGCAGGCGCGUAAAUUACCCAAUUCUAAAAAAGAGAGGUAGUGACAAGAAAUAACAAUACAAUAUCGAAAAAUGAUUUUGUAAUUGGAAUGAUAGGAAUUUACAAGGUUCCUAGAGAAACAAUUGGAGGGCAAGUCUGGUGCCAGCAGCCGCGGUAAUUCCAGCUCCAAUAGCAUAUAUUAAAAUUGUUGCAGUUAAAACGUUCGUAGUUGAAUAUUAAAGAAUCCGAUGUUUCAUUUAAACUGGUUUGGGAAAACCAAAUAUAUUAUAUAUUUUGCUUUGUUCAAAAUAAGGUUUUCUAAUAAAUUAUGUUUUUAUCAGAUAUGACAGAAUCUUUUUUAAAAUCUCUUCAAUAUGCUUUUAUUGCUUUUGAGAGGUUUUGUUACUUUGAGUAAAAUUAAGUGUUCAUAACAGACGGGUAGUCAUGAUUGAGUUCAUUGUGUUUGAAUACUACAGCAUGGAAUAACAAAUAUGAAUAAGCUAAUUAUUUUUUUUUUUCAUAAUUUUUUUUGAUAUUCUUAUUAGCUUAGUUACGAUUAAUAGGAGUAGCUUUGGGGGCAUUCGUAUUCAGAUGUCAGAGGUGAAAUUCUAAGAUUUUCUGGAGACGGACUACUGCGAAAGCAUUUGCCUAAUCUAUUUCCAUUAAUCAAGAACGAAAGUUAAGGGAGUGAAGACGAUCAGAUACCGUCGUAAUCUUAACCAUAAACUAUACCGACUAGGUGUUGGAUGAAUAUAAAAAAUAUAUAAAUAUGUAGCAUUUCUUAGGGAAUGUUGAUUUUAUAUUAGAAUUGCUUCCUUCAGUACCUUAUGAGAAAUCAAAGUCUUUGGGUUCUGGGGCGAGUAUUCGCGCAAGCGAGAAAGUUAAAAGAAUUGACGGAAGGGCACCACCAGGCGUGGAGCUUGCGGCUUAAUUUGACUCAACACGGGAAAACUCACUAGUUUAAGACAAGAGUAGGAUUGACAGAUUAAUAGCUCUUUCUUGAUUUCUUGGAUGGUGAUGCAUGGCCGUUUUUAGUUCGUGAAUAUGAUUUGUCUGGUUAAUUCCGAUAACGAACGAGAUCUUA